GACGAACGCUGGCGGCGUGCUUAACACAUGCAAGUCGAACGGAAAGGCCCUGCUUUUGUGGGGUGCUCGAGUGGCGAACGGGUGAGUAACACGUGAGUAACCUGCCCUUGACUUUGGGAUAACUUCAGGAAACUGGGGCUAAUACCGGAUAGGAGCUCCUGCUGCAUGGUGGGGGUUGGAAAGUUUCGGCGGUUGGGGAUGGACUCGCGGCUUAUCAGGUUGUUGGUGGGGUAGUGGCUUGCCAAGGCUUUGACGGGUAGCCGGCCUGAGAGGGUGACCGGCCACAUUGGGACUGAGAUACGGCCCAGACUCCUACGGGAGGCAGCAGUGGGGAAUAUUGCACAAUGGGCGGAAGCCUGAUGCAGCAACGCCGUGUGCGGGAUGACGGCCUUCGGGUUGUAAACCGCUUUCGCCUGUGACGAAGCGUGAGUGACGGUAAUGGGUAAAGAAGCACCGGCUAACUACGUG
rnacentral:rRNA from 1 species